UUUAAUCACAUAUUUGAGAGUCAUUCAAAUGCUCAUGUUUCCGUUAGAACACUUUGUCACAAUGCUGAUUGUAAUCUGUCAGAUUUAGAAUGUUGGAAAAUUUGAACAAUACCAGCACUUUAGAAUUUAACUAACAGUAUUGGCAAGAAUCCAAUCAUAGCAGGCUUGUUAGAGGAUAGAACAGGCACCCCAGUAAUCCAUUUCAACCAAGAAAGUAUUUCAACUGUUGUCCAUUGAGAAAUGCACUGUUCAUCAGUUUAAUUUGGAAAUAUGAAGCAGAAAAGUCAAAAUUCAGCAACAAGACUUGAUGAUUGAUAUUCCAGUGGAAGAACAUUCUGAUUUUUGUUUCUUGAUUGUGUAGAUGAUGGAUUCCCUACUUGAACAGUUCCUGGACUAAAACAAAUGGCCCUCGUGGUAAUAUUCAAACAAACCAUAUUCCACCUCAUUUACAUCUGUGACACAUUGUAAGACUACUGCUUUAUUAUGCUGGUAAUAUACAUUAAUCCUAAUUUGCUGUAAAGAGUAUGAUGAGAACAAAAUAUUUUAUGUUUUAUAGUAACAUUUUUAUUAAUAGCCCCUAUGCAUUUUAAUGACUCUAGUAGUAAUCUUUGUUUUCUUAAAAAACAGGCUGCAUAUUCCAAAUAUGUUUUAGAAAUAUAUAUGUAAUAAACAUGGUUUCCCUCCUA